AAAUUGAAGAGUUUGAUCAUGGCUCAGAUUGAACGCUGGCGGCAGGCCUAACACAUGCAAGUCGAGCGGUAGCAC
rnacentral:rRNA from 4 species